ensembl:lncRNA HERC2P3 HERC2 pseudogene 3
ACUUUUGAGUUAAGAGCCUAACUUAUUUCCUACUCACUAUUUCUCCUGUAGCUCUUCAGGCAAGCUGAAUUGAACUCAUGUUGCUUUUUCCCUUUUUGUUUCAGCUCAGUUUGCAGGGGAAGACCCAGUGGUAGCUUUGGAAGCUGCUUUGCAGUUUGAAGACACCCGGGAAUCCAUGCACGCAUUUUGUGUUGGCCAGUAUUUGGAGCCUGACCAAGAAGGCGUCACCAUACCAGAUCUGGGGAGUCUCUCCUCACCUCUGAUAGACACAGAGAGGAAUCUGGGCCUGCUUCUCGGAUUACACGCUUCCUAUUUAGCAAUGAGCACACCGCUGUCUCCUGUCGAGAUUGAAUGUGCCAAAUGGCUUCAGUCAUCCAUCUUCUCUGGAGGCCUGCAGACCAGCCAGAUCCACUACAGCUACAACGAGGAGAAAGACGAGGACCACUGCAGCUCCCCAGGGGGCACACCUGCCAGCAAAUCUCGACUCUGCUCCCACAGACGGGCCCUGGGGGACCAUUCCCAGGCAUUUCUGCAAGCCAUUGCAGACAACAACAUUCAGGAUCACAACGUGAAGG